GCUUCCGCAGUUCCGCUUCAAAAUUCCGGUGAAAAAGGAAGACGACAGCUCCAGACCCCUAGGCCCCUAGCCAUGGCCGGAGAGGCGGGAAAAGACCCCCAAGCGUGGCUAGCCGCCAACGAGACGGCGUCGGCCUUCCUCUCCCGUUCACUCUCCUCGCGGCCCCCCAUCACCCUCCCGCCACCACUGCACCGCGCGCCUCUCCGCCCGGGCAACGUCGUCGAGAUCGCCGGCCCGUCCAACUCUGGCAAGUCCCACCUCCUCCUCAUGGCUGCAGUGCAGUGCAUAUUACCAAAGGAGUGGGAGGGAAUCUACUUUGGGGGGCUGGGGAGGGCGGUCAUGUACUUGGACUUGGACUGCCGAUUUGAUGUGCUACGGCUGGCUCAAAUUCUGAGGAAUCGUAUUGCAGAGGGCUGCCGUUUAGCACACCUUAGAAAUGGAGACCCUGAAAAUGAUGUCACUAAAGAUGAGUUUCAGUGUUCUCUUCAAAAUACACUGUUUUCUGAUUGUAUGCAGCGCUUCUUGUAUGCUCGAUGUUGCAAAAGUCCUGAAUUCAUAGAUGCUUUGAAGACUGUACAGUCUCAAUCAAGGAGGGAAGUGUCCGGCGCUGGUAUAUAUUUUGUUAUGAUAGACAGCAUUGGUGCGUUCUACUGGAUAGAUCGUGGUUCUCAAGCUUCACGAGAGAAUAAAGGGAAAACACUGCAAAGCAUUUUUGAAAGUGUUGUCCACGAGUUACGCAAGAUUUUGCAACUUGAACCUGCAUUGGUUUUGGUCACAAAGGCAUCCGUUUAUGGGGAAGGCACCACAACAGCAAAUGACUUCAAUCGGGAUUCUUCAAAAUACAUGCUGGAGGAUCCUAGCGGUUUGGGAUAUUCAAGACGGGAGGAAGAAAGAACUCUCUCUAAUCGGGAAUAUAUGCCAUCAAUAUGGCAGUCUUUUGUCACACACAGGAUAAACCUUCAAGUAGAAGCAGAAGUUCCCUCUGUGCUGGAAAGUGAGGUGCUUCCUUUGCAUACUUCUGAGUGGGUGCAACCUUGCCUCAAAAUGAAGGAGAAGUUUUCUAUUAUGGAUGAUGGUGUUAACCUUAUCCACUGAAUUUACCAGUCUGGCAUUCUGUGAUGAACAUGUCGAACCUCACUGAAUUGUUGUGAUCUGAUUAAGAAAACAGUAUGCCCACAGCACGCCUACAGGAUGUUAUGUGGCAGUGUCUCUAUCUUGGUUCUUUUAUUCUUUGGCAUGGCACACAUACAGAACACAGAAGCAUAGAACGUGUGAUGGCUGAGUACUGUAUGAUUUUAAAGUUUAUCCAAUAGUACCAAAAAAUGGAAACUGUUCUCACGUUCAAGAAUUCUUAACAUAGUGGAGCUGAGUAACCUCUACUGAUGCCUUACAAUUGAUGGGUGGGAACUCCCAAUACCGAUGAUCAAGUUGCUGUUAUCACCUUAUUUUAAUCAUGGUGAUGCUUGGUGCCGGGAAUGAUGAGUUAGCAUGUCGCUAUUUAUUCUGUUUUUUUGUACAUAUUUGUUAGGGAUAAGUGACCCUGUAUUAUAUACAUUCCUGUUCAGACGGGUACGUUUCGUUA